rnacentral:misc_RNA from 1 species
CCCAUGUAUUAAUGAAAAUAAAGCCACAAUGUGUUCUUCUAGUUAGUGAAUGUUAUCUAGUACUAGUAAACAAUUACUCUGUUUCUUUGAUGAUCUCUAAGUCUUGAUAAAGACUUCUACUUGGAAUCUUAGGAUGAAUUCUCUCAGCAGGAGCUGUGGAGGUAAAAGGAUUAGCAGGCGUUGUUAAAUUGCUUCCAUCUCCUUCCAACAUUUGCACAACAGUUUUCAUGGAGGGACGAUGCACUGGGUUCCAUUGAAUGCA